rnacentral:tRNA from 1 species
GGCACGGUGGCGCAGUGGGUAGCACUAUUACUUCACAAGCAAGAAAGUGGGUUCAAAUCCCAGCUUGGCCC